rnacentral:rRNA from 1 species
UACGGGGGGGGCAAGCGUUGUCCGGAAUUAUUGGGCGUAAAGAGCUCGUAGGCGGUUUGUCGCGUCGGCCGUGAAAUCUCCACGCUUAACGUGGAGCGUGCGGUCGAUACGGGCAGACUUGAGUUCGGUAGGGGAGACUGGAAUUCCUGGUGUAGCGGUGAAAUGCGCAGAUAUCAGGAGGAACACCGGUGGCGAAGGCGGGUCUCUGGGCCGAUACUGACGCUGAGGAGCGAAAGCGUGGGGAGCGAACAGG